UGAGUGAGCGUAAAAUCAUUGUUAUCGAUAGCCGAUGACAAACAGUCUGUCAGAGGCCUUCCAGUGGGGAUUUAAACAAUCACUUGUUACACAUUUUAUAAAUAAAUCACUUGUUACACAUUUCGAUACAUAAAAUGAAAUUUUUUUCUCAGAACUUUAUAGGAAUUUGUUUGAAAUAUUCUUUAUAUUAGCACAUACAACAGUUUCAUUUUAGAGAAUAAUAAAUGUUCAGAGCUAAUAUCAUUAAUAUGAUUUCAGUCGGUUGAGUAUGUGAAUUAGAAUGAAAUUAUUUUCUUCUGAAUUGUCUGCCCAUAGAUGGCGUUUUAGGUUAAGUGCUUUGCGUGAUUUGGCGGUUAAAUCAUUCGGCACGACAGGGUCUACUCGAAAGGUCACGUUAAUUUACCUAGCUGUGUUUGUCGAUUAAGUAUGUUUGAAUAUAAUCAUGGAUAAUGAAGGUGAACCAGAUAUCUCAUUGAGAACUGUUUUAACUGCUGUAAAUCAACAAAGUAAAGAUAUCGAGGCAAUCAUUGAUGCUAAAGUGACAGAGAAAAUUGGUGGACUUAAAGAAGCGUUGCAGUGUGCUAACCAGUUGAUGAAGUCCCAGGUGAAGAAGCUUAAAACAGACGCUACAUAUAAAUGGAAAUAUGAACGUUACAAGAUUCAGUUUAACUUUAAUACUGAAAAUCUCGAGGAUCUUGUUCAGACUUUGUGGGCCAUAGACAAUGGGAAAGUGGAUUAUACCCGUGAUUUGUUAUCCUCUACCAUAGACAAGAUGAAGCAUCGCAACAAACUUAUUAAGAUAGCGGACACCUCUGAAGGAGGUUGGGAUACCGCAAGGUAAUAUGACGCCAAUCCUAUUGCAAGUGAUUCCGAGGAUGAAGCUAACAUUAUUCGAGCUGAUAAUAGAGCUUUCUGUAAGAAGAAAGUGAAGGCUAAGCAGGAUAGGGGGACUGGUUCCAAAUCUAAGGUCAGCAACCAGUCGCUAUUAGGACAGGCUCCAAACUUCGUUUAGCAGCCCUUUCGUGGGCCUCAGCAACCUUGGCUCAACGGAAUUCCCUUUUUAGCAAGGUUUCAACGCUGGAAAGAUGCAGAGGGGACAGUGCUACUCUUGUGGGUCCUACACACACUACCGGUCCAGCUAUCCAUACGUCAACAGUAGUAAACCAGCAACCCAAACCAAACCACAGUGAUUAUUUGAAAGAUGAGUAUUUAAAUUAUCUUGAACUUUUACCUAUAGAUAAUUAUAUUCAUUAUAAUUUGACAAAUGAUUAUUUUGAACUAGGUCAAUCUGAUAUUAUUGUUAAGGGUAGACUUAGCAGAAACAUUCAAUUUUGGAUAGAUAUUGGUGUGUCUGAAUUUAUUAUAGAUACUUUUAGAGAUGGUUAUAUUUUACCUUUCUAUUCAAAUCCAAUAUCGAUUUGUUUGUCAAAUAAUUUAUCAGCUUUAAAUAAUGCAGAUUUUGUUCGAUCGGCUGUUACUGAUUUAUUAGCUAGAGGUUUAAUUGUAGAGACGUCAGAGUUCCCUUUGUUGUGAAUCCUUUAACUAUUCCUGUUCAGUCAAACAACAAAAGACGUUUAAUAUUAGAUUUGAGAGAAAUUAACAGACAUUUAUGGAAACAUAGUGUAAAGUUUGAAGAUAUACGUAUUGCAAAACAUUACAUUAAUACCAAUUCAUAUAUGUUUAAGAAUGACGUACAUUCUGCGUUACCACCAUGUCGAUAUUUUCCCGCCUCAUACUAAAUAUCUAGGAUUUGCAUGGGACUUGAACGAUGUUAAAAAAUAUUUUAAAUUUCUAGUAUUACCGUUUGGUCUCAGUACUGCUUGUUAUAUUUUUACUAAUAUAACUAGACCACUCAUUAAAAAAUGGAGAGGAGAAGGAAAGCAUAUUAUUAUGUACGUAGACGAUGGACUUGGUGUACAUGACGAUGAGGAAUUAUGUAGUCAAAUGGCUAUACAGGUUAAAAAAGAUAUAAUAAGUAGCGGUUUUGCACCCAAGGCUGAAAAGUCUAUGUGUACACCUAUUAAAAACCUCACACUUUUAGGCCCUAACAUUGAUAAACAGAUAAAGGAGUUUUGACUAUUCCUGACAAUCGUAAAGACAAGAUUAUGAAUACCAUUUCAGACAUUAAUUUGUGUUUAGCCAAAAACGGAAAAGUAUUUUUAAGGAAGGUAGCUUCCUUAGUAGGACAGAUUAUAUCUACGUCUCCAGUUAUAGGCAAUAUUACGAAAGCCUAUAAGGGUCACAAAAAAAAAAUGUAUCUCGUAAUUACGACAAAACUAUCGUGUAAUUACGAGAAAACUAUCGCGUAAUUACGAGAUAACAUUUUUAUCUCGUAAUUACGAGAUAAUCAUCGCGUAAUUACGCGAUAAAACUUCUUAUCUCGUAAUAACGCGAUAAUUUUCUCGUAAUUACGCGAUGGUUAUCUCGUAAUUACGCGAUAGUUUUCUCGUAAUUACGCGAUAAUUAUCUCGUAAUUUCGCGAUAAUUUUCUCGUAAUUACGAGGUAAAAAAAAUUUUUUGUGACCCUAAUAGGCUUUCGUACAAUAUAGUAUAUUUAAUGACAAAACAUUUGUCUAUUGAUAUAAAUAGUGUUCAUUCAUUGAACAGUUAUAUACAUUUAUCUGUAGACAGUAUUGAUCAAAUUAUUUUUUGGAGGUUUAAUUUACAUGAAGCCAAUGUUAAACCUUUUAAGUCUGAUGUUUCUUGGCAGACUAUUGUGUAUAGUGAUGCAAGCAAUACAGGUGGUUAUAUUGUGGAAAACCCAUAUAAUAUUGCUCACGGCAUUUACCGGAGAAUUGCUGAAUCUACUUGUUUCGCUAGUUAGUAAAGUGAAUUUACUUCCAGGAUUACUUUCAGAAUCUCGAGCAGUUUCUACUACAAAAGGAUAUUAUCAGAGUUUUUUACGAUGGAAAAAUUGGGCUGCAUCAAACGGAAUUGAAAAUGGUGAUAUUUUAUCAGAAAAAGCUUUUUACGUUGCUACAUAUUUAGCUGCCUUGACACAGUCGAGCAAUACUGUUAGUCCAGUUGUUCAAGCAUUUUACUCUUUAAAGUGGAUACAGUCUCUUAUUGGCCCAUCAUGUUCACCGACAGAUUCGUCUUUAGAAAUUAACGUUCUAGAAGGUGCGAAGCGUAGCUUGGCUACUCCUAUAAAUAAAAAGGAACAUAUUUCGGUAGAAUUGCUGCAUAAAAUGUAUGAUGCUAUGUUUUCUUUUGGUAAUUUGUAUAAUCAGCGGAUUAUUUGUGCGUGUUUCGCUGCUUUUGCAAGUUUUUUUUAGAGUUUCCGAGUUGCUUAAUAUUCGAAGAAGUGAUAUAGUUAUUUUAGAAUGUUAUAUGUCAAUUUUCAUUCAACAUAGCAAAACAGACGUAUACAGAGAUGGCAAUUCAGUAUUAAUUGCUCGUACAAAUUCGAACAAGUGUCCAGUAAAAAAUAUGGAAUUAUAUUUGCAGUGGGCUGAUAUUUCUGGCGAUUCUGAUGAGUUUAUUUUCGUAAUUUGACCAAAUGUAAAGGUGUUUAUGUUUUACGUAAAGAUAAUACACCAUUAUCAUACUCUA